CUGGCGGCUCCGAAAAAGGUGUGUGUGCUCUGCAGAUGUUCUCCCAGAGCAGGAGAUGUCCUAAUAAGCAGGCAAAGGGAUUCACUUCUGAUGCAGCACUGACACAGAGGAUCUGGGAAGAGCUGCCACAUCAGUGUGAGGUGGGAGACAGAGUCGAGCUGCCCAGGAAAUGCUUCUGUUGAGUCUCUUUUAUGCUGAGCUUCU
rnacentral:lncRNA from 1 species